GUCGAGGGGUAUAUGUCUUCGGAUAUAGAGACCGGCGCACGGGUGCGUAACGCGUAUGCAAUCUACCUUUCACAGAGGGAUAGCCCAGAGAAAUUUGGAUUAAUACCUCAUAGUAUUAUUGAGUGGCAUCACUUAAUAAUUAAAGUCACAACGGUGAAAGAUGAGCAUGCGUCCCAUUAGCUAGUUGGUAAGGUAACGGCUUACCAAGGCAACGAUGGGUAGGGGUCCUGAGAGGGAGAUCCCCCACACUGGUACUGAGACACGGACCAGACUCCUACGGGAGGCAGCAGUGAGGAAUAUUGGACAAUGGGCGCAAGCCUGAUCCAGCCAUGCCGCGUGCAGGAUGACGGUCCUAUGGAUUGUAAACUGCUUUUGUACGAGAAGAAACACUGCUUCGUGAAGCAGCUUGACGGUAUCGUAAGAAUAAGGAUCGGCUAACUCCGUGCCAGCAGCCGCGGUAAUACGGAGGAUCCAAGCGUUAUCCGGAAUCAUUGGGUUUAAAGGGUCCGUAGGCGGUUUAGUAAGUCAGUGGUGAAAGCCCAUCGCUCAACGGUGGAACGGCCAUUGAUACUGCUGAACUUGAAUUAUUAGGAAGUAACUAGAAUAUGUAGUGUAGCGGUGAAAUGCUUAGAGAUUACAUGGAAUACCAANUGCGAAGGCAGGUUACUACUAAUUNNUUGACGCUGAUGGACGAAAGCGUGGGGAGCGAACAGGAUUAGAUACCCUGGUAG
rnacentral:rRNA from 1 species